rnacentral:rRNA from 1 species
AGUGAACGCUGGCGGUAGGCCUAACACAUGCAAGUCGAACGGCAGCACAGUAAGAGCUUGCUCUUACGGGUGGCGAGUGGCGGACGGGUGAGGAAUACAUCGGAAUCUACUUUUUCGUGGGGGAUAACGUAGGGAAACUUACGCUAAUACCGCAUACGACCUACGGGUGAAAGCAGGGGAUCUUCGGACCUUGCGCGAUUGAAUGAGCCGAUGUCGGAUUAGCUAGUUGGCGGGGUAAAGGCCCACCAAGGCGACGAUGCGUAGCUGGUCUGAGAGGAUGAUCAGCCACACUGGAACUGAGACACGGUCCAGACUCCUACGGGAGGCAGCAGUGGGGAAUAUUGGACAAUGGGCGCAAGCCUGAUCCAGCCAUACCGCGUGGGUGAAGAAGGCCUUCGGGUUGUAAAGCCCUUUUGUUGGGAAAGAAAAGCAGCAGAUUAAUACCCCGCUGUUCUGACGGUACCCAAAGAAUAAGCACCGGCUAACUUCGUG